rnacentral:lncRNA from 1 species
GACUGUUGGAUUGAAUUUGUAAGGCCCAGAUGAAUUGAUCCCUAGGCUCCGAACACUAAGGUCUGGAGCGGAUCCAAUUCCAGAUAAGAAUGUGUCAAAGGCUAAAAGAGAGAGUUGAAUAGUAUGAGCAUUUUAAACAAUUUUUGUAGAAAGGUGAUUUUUACAAAAAAAAAAUAAAUAAAUAAAAGAAAAAGGCUUCCCUUAGAUAGGAGUGUGUCAAAGGCUAAAAGAGAGUGGAGCCAAAAAUAAUCACAAGGUGACAUGUGAAUUUUUGGGUAAAAAUGACAAAAUUACCCUUGAGGCACAUCGGGAUUCCUAUGCGCAAGCAAUGGGCAAUCAUCCCUUAACCAAGUCAAAAGUGCCUAAAAUAGGUAACAAUUGAAAACCUAUUUCAUCCAUCCUCAUCAAAUCCUCUCCACAAGGUAACUCCCAAAUCAUUUCUCUUUUAUUAUAUUAAUUAGCUAAUCAAUUAGGAAAUUAUUCUAUUAAUUAUCUAAUUAAUUGAUUUAUUAUUCAAUUAUUCCUAAUUAGCUACAAAUCAUGAACCUCACCCAAAAUACCAACCAAGUGGCCGGUCCUCCUCCUCCUAAGGGGACGGCCACACCUCUAUAAAUACUACCUCAUUUUCUCCAAAACUCAAUUCCAAUUCUCUUGCUAAACUCUCUAAAUUUUCCAAACACUUU